rnacentral:tRNA from 1 species
GCCGACUUAGCUCAGCUGGUAGAGCGUCUCAUUCGUAAUGAGAAGGUCGCAGGUUCGAAACCCGUAGUCGGCU